UGAAUCUAAGGAUGCCCUCAACGAUUCC
rnacentral:piRNA from 1 species